AUGAAAGAAUUUUUUGGCCAGUUACUUUAUGAACAGCUGACUACUGACACACCAAAAUUACUGCUAAUAGCUGCCUAACAGCAAGAUUCAGAAGUAUGACAGAAGUCAUUACUUUGCCUAGCUUCCCCCCUUCCUGAGAGAAUGCCCUAAGGAUAGGAAUUCCUGUGGUGGCUUGAUCAACCGUAACAGAUGACUGCCACCAAAAAGGGAUGCUCUUAUUCCGCUGUCCCACGCUGCUUCUACUGCCUACCUUAUUACCAGCACUACAGCUUGCUGAACACCCUCCAUGACCUAAAGCAGUUGAAAAAAACAUGGACCAAAAUUAACCCAAGCAGGAGAAAAGGGACAGUUUUCUGACAUUUUAGUGAAUUAAACUAGUUUGCAGAAGCUUUUGCUAUACACCAAAGCUAGUGCAAAAAGGAGAAAGAACCUGCAGCUGCACUUGGGCACGCUGGGAGGAAGAGAAGUGAGCCUGCCUCCUCUGGGCAGUGGCAAGCCAUCAGAUUAGAUUAUCUGCCCACGAAAUCACAGGCUGAAGAUGGCAAGAGGAUGUGAACUUAAUGUGCCCCUUAAAAACUCUCGACACUUAGUAAUCUUGUGGAGGUGUUGGUAAAUUCACAUCUGACUAAAAUGAUAUUUCAAGAAGGUAUCUAUAUAGAGAGACUCUGAAUGAAGGCUUCUACUUACCAGCAUUAACAUGCAGACAAAAGCAUGCUCAGCAGAUGCAGCCCCUACUGACCCUGCAGAAAGUAUGUCAGGCAAGGAGACCUCAACUUCAGGAAAAACAGUAUAUUAACCCCUGUGGACAGCUGCAUUGAUAUGCACUAAAACCCAUAUACAAACCUAAUUACUUGUGUAUUGCUAUUUGGUGGGUUUAAACCUUCUUGAAAUAUAAUUUUAGUCAGACAUGAAUUUACCGACACCUCCAAAAGUUCAGUAGCUGUGCAAAUCCACGCUAGCUUGAUACUCAAGUUAGUUCUAGCCAAAACAUAUAUACACUGCCUGUGUACUCUGCUGUUUCAAGCUAUGAAACGCACUAAGGUUUUCAAGGUCAAAACUGCAGGUCCAAACAUUUUGUUCCCUAAGUAGCUCACAGAUAGGGAAUAGGGUAAGCAACCUUGCAACUGCCUGGCUGCUGUCUUAAAAACAUAACGAAGUAAGGUGUAUUUAUACUUCUGUGAGAGCGAAUCUCACUUUAGUGUUUUAUAUGUAGUAAUUGUGCACACACAUUUUCAUCCUCUCACUCUUUUUAUGUUCAAUCUUUUUAUCUUUUUCUUGCAUAACCUGUAAUUCACAUGUGCUUCCAAUUAUUUUAUGUUGCAUAUAAUUUGAAGGUAACACACGAGAUGCAUUGGAGUUGUGGCACAACCUCCUGGGGCAACCUGCAGUACAUCUAGUAAUUUAAACGAGAAGUUUAUUUAAAUCUAGGCAUGACUUAUGCACAAGUCUGAAGAACCCCCAAAAUGGCUCAGGUAUGUGUUCUAGCAAAAUGUUGUGGGUUAACCCUCUGGCAGCAAAGCACUGCACAGCUGCUGGCUCACUUUCCCUCCUCCACCCCACUGGGGGAAGAGGAAAGGAAGAGUAGAAGUCAGAAAACUUGUAGGUUGAGAUAACGACAAUUUAGUAUCAGGGAAAAGGGAG